UACGUAGGGUCCGAGCGUUGUCCGGAAUUAUUGGGCGUAAAGGGCUCGUAGGCGGUUUGUCGCGUCGGGAGUGAAAACACGGGGCUUAACCCCGUGCCUGCUUCCGAUACGGGCAGACUAGAGGUAUGCAGGGGAGAACGGAAUUCCUGGUGUAGCGGUGAAAUGCGCAGAUAUCAGGAGGAACACCUGCGGCGAAGGCGGGUAGCUGGGCCGACACUGACGCUGAUGCGCGAAAGCCAGGGGAGCGAACGGG
rnacentral:rRNA from 1 species